GCCCUGGUGGUGCAGUGGUUAAGCACUUGGCUGCUAACCAAAAGUAAGUGGUUCAAACCCACCCGGCA
rnacentral:tRNA from 1 species